CUCAUGGUUUCACGGUAUUGCAAUGAGAACAAUUUAAAACCCUUAGCGAGAAUCAAGUGGAGGACAAGUCUGGUGCCAGCACCCGCGGUAAUUCCAGCUCCACUAGCGUAUAUUAAAGUUGUUGCAGUUAAGAGCUCGUAGUUGAACCUCUGUCUGGGGCUAGUUUUGGCUUUGGUCAGGCUAGUUCUAGGCAUCCGCCUACAAGACUUAGAGGGCAUUCAGUUGUUCACUAGGAGGAGUAGGCAUUUUACUUUGAAAAAAUUAGAGUGUUUAAGGCAGGCAAUCGCCCGCAUAUAUUAGCAUGGAAUAAUAGAAUAGGACACUUUUCCAUUUCGUUGGUUAUUGGAAUCGUGUAAUGAUUAAUAGGGACAGUUGUGGGCAUUUGUAUUUAAUUGUCAGAGGUGAAAUUCUUGGAUUUAUUAAAGACAAACUAACGCGAAAGCAUUUGCCAAGGAUGUUUUCAUUAAUCAAGAACGAAAGUUAGGGGAUCAAAGACGAUCAGAUACCGUCCUAGUCUUAACUAUAAACUAUUCCGACUCAAUGUUUGACUGGCUUAUACAACCAGUUGAGCGUUGUAUGAGAAAUCAAAGUCUUUAGGUUCUGGGGGGAGUAUGGUUGCAAAGCUGAAACUUAAAGGAAUUGACGGAAGAGCACAACCAGGAGUGGAUUCUGCGGCUUAAUUUGACUCAACACGGGGAAACUUACCAGGUUAAAACAAUAGUGGGAUUGACAGUUUGAGAGCGCUUUCUUGAUUGGUUGGGUGGUGGUGCAUGGCCGUUCUUAGUUGGUGGAGUGAUUUGUCUGCUUAAUUGCGUUAACGAACGAGACCUUAACCUGCUUACUAGACUGGCGAUCACCAAUCGUUAGCUCUUCUUAGAGGGACUUUGGUUGUUUUAACUCCAAGGAAGUUUGAGGCAAUAACAGGUCUGUGAUGCCCUUAGAUAUCCUGGGCCGCACGCGUCAUACAAUGACUAGUUCAGAAAGUUUUCUCCUGACCCGAAAGGGGAUGGGUAAUCUUGAUAAUACUAGUCGUGUUAGGGAUCGAUCUUUGCAAUUAUAGAUCUUGAACGAGGAAUUCCUAGUAAGUGCGGUUCAUCAGACCGUACUGAUUACGUCCCUGCUCUUUGUACACACCGCCCGUCGCUUCUACCGAGUGGGUGGUCCGGUGAGAUAAUUGAACUUCGCAGGUAACUGAGAGGAAAGAUUAUCAAACCUAUCCACCU
rnacentral:rRNA from 1 species